rnacentral:lncRNA from 1 species
UUUUUUUUUUUUUUUUUUUUUUUUUUUUUUGCCAUAGCACCAGCCACCACAUGCCUGAGAUGCUGAGGACUAGGGGUUGGUCAAACCCUUUUGCUUCCCUGCACACUGAGACACACCCAGGUUAAAGCUGAGAAAAUGGCAGUCUCUAGGAGCUCCUGCGUCCACAUGAACUUUGCCCCUAUGUUCCCUCAGGUGCUGAUGCUGCUGGAAUUGGCAUUUCAUUAGGCUUCCCCCCUUUUCAUUUAUUCCAUUAGGCCCCGGGCAGAACUUCUGGGAGCUACUUGAUGACGCAUCUGUUAAUUUUCCUUUAGGGAGAGGAGUCUAUGCUGUUUGGCACAGGUUCAUGGCCCUUUUGUUAUGUUCUCAGAUCCUUUAUUGUUAUUCUUCCCUUCUGGCACCCCACAAAAAGGCAAGAAGGGAAAUAGGGAUGUGGGGAGGGGCACACCAGAAGGGUUCUAAGACUAAAGGACUAGCAAGAAAGAGCUGGGUCUGAGACUCCUCUCUGAACCCAGCUCCUGAGCUUAAAGGUCUUAAAGGUUCUAAACUCACCCCCACCCCACCCCCCAAAAUAUACUACUAGCUAGGGGCUAAGUGUUCGAAAAUACUAGGCUGUGGAAGAUAGUUCACAUGCAAACCAUGACAGUCAGGAAAAGUACAGUAGACACAGAAAGGUUGGAAGACCAAAAGAAUGGAGUGACGAAUGCUUACUCUACAAAGAUGCGACAGUGUUGCCUCUUUACAUCAACCUCCUUGGAACUGAGCUUGGGCAAUAUUUACUUAGUAUAGUAACAAAGUGUCACUUCAUCACAUCAACCUUCUUAGAACUACAGAGCAUGGGCAAUAGUUACUUAGUAUUGUAACAAAGUGUCACAUCAUCACAUCAACCUUCUUAGAACUACAGAGCAUGGGCGAUAGUUACUUAGUAUUGUAACAAAAUACCAGACACACGCAGUUUAAGGAUAGAAGGGUUUAUUUUGGCUCACAGUUUGAGGACACUGUCCACCUUCAGAACCAUGGGGCAGCUGGUCACAUUAUAUCCUGGACCAAGUUCUUGGCACCUCCUUUGAAAGUCAGCCAUUCUAGGGUCCCUGACC